rnacentral:rRNA from 1 species
GAGUUUGAUCGUGGCUCAGGACGAACGCUGGCGGCGUGCUUAACACAUGCAAGUCACGGGGGCCCGCAAGGGCAACCGGCGAACGGGUGCGUAACACGUGAGCAAGCUUCCGAUUUGUGGGGGAUAGCCGGCCUAACGGCCGGGUAAUACCGCAUACGUUCACUGGGCGGCAUCGUCUGGUGAGGAAACCUCCGGGGCAAAUCGAGGCGCUCGCGGCCUAUCAGCUAGUUGGCGGGGUAAUGGCCCACCAAGGCGACGACGGGUAGCUGGUCUGAGAGGAUGGCCAGCCACAUUGGGACUGCGACACGGCCCAGACUCCUACGGGAGGCAGCAGUGGGGAAUAUUGCGCAAUGGACGAAAAGUCUGACGCAGCGACGCCGCGUGUGGGAUGAAGCUCUUCGGGGUGUAAACCACUGUUGCCCGGGACGAAAAUGCCCUUUCGAGGGAAUUGACGGUACCGGGUGAGGAAGCACCGGCUAACUCUGUGCCAG